AGCCGUCCUUGAAAUACCACCCUUGUAGUGUUGAUGUUCUAACGUCGACCCCUUAUCGGGGUUGCGGACAGUGCCUGGUGGGUAGUUUGACUGGGGCGGUCUCCUCCCAAAGCGUAACGGAGGAGCACGAAGGUGGGCUAAUCACGGUUGGACAUCGUGAGGUUAGUGCAAUGGCAUAAGCCCGCUUGACUGCGAGAAUGACAAUUCGAGCAGGUGCGAAAGCAGGUCAUAGUGAUCCGGUGGUUCUGAAUGGAAGGGCCAUCGCUCAACGGAUAAAAGGUACUCCGGGGAUAACAGGCUGAUACCGCCCAAGAGUUCAUAUCGACGGCGGUGUUUGGCACCUCGAUGUCGGCUCAUCACAUCCUGGGGCUGAAGUCGGUCCCAAGGGUAUGGCUGUUCGCCAUUUAAAGUGGUACGCGAGCUGGGUUUAGAACGUCGUGAGACAGUUCGGUCCCUAUCUGCCGUGGGCGUUGGAGAAUUGAAAGGGGCUGCUCCUAGUACGAGAGGACCGGAGUGGACGAACCUCUGGUGUUCGGGUUGUGUCGCCAGACGCAUUGCCCGGUAGCUAAGUUCGGGAUCGAUAACCGCUGAAAGCAUCUAAGCGGGAAGCGAGCCUUGAGAUGAGUUCUCCCUGAUACUUUAAGUAUCCUAAAGGGUUGUCGUAGACUACGACGUUGAUAGGCAGGGUGUGUAAGCGUUGUGAGGCGUUGAGCUAACCUGUACUAAUUGCCCGUGAGGCUUAACCAUACAACACCCAA
rnacentral:rRNA from 1 species